AGUGAACGCUGGCGGUAGGCCUAACACAUGCAAGUCGAACGGCAGCACAGUAAGAGCUUGCUCUUACGGGUGGCGAGUGGCGGACGGGUGAGGAAUACAUCGAAAUCUACUUUUUCGUGGGGGAUAACGUAGGGAAACUUACGCUAAUACCGCAUACGACCUACGGGUGAAAGCAGGGGAUCUUCGGACCUUGCGCGAUUGAAUGAGCCGAUGUCGGAUUAGCUAGUUGGCGGGGUAAGGGCCCACCAAGGCGACGAUCCGUAGCUGGUCUGAGAGGAUGAUCAGCCACACUGGAACUGAGACACGGUCCAGACUCCUACGGGAGGCAGCAGUGGGGAAUAUUGGACAAUGGGCGCAAGCCUGAUCCAGCCAUACCGCGUGGGUGAAGAAGGCCUUCGGGUUGUAAAGCCCUUUUGUUGGGAAAGAAAAGCAGCAGGUUAAUACCCCGCUGUUCUGACGGUACCCAAAGAAUAAGCACCGGCUAACUUCGUG
rnacentral:rRNA from 1 species